rnacentral:rRNA from 1 species
AUUGAACGCUGGCGGCAUGCCUUACACAUGCAAGUCGAACGGCAGCACAGGAGCAAUCCUGGUGGCGAGUGGCGAACGGGUGAGUAAUAUAUCGGAACGUGCCCAGUCGUGGGGAUAACGUAGCGAAAGCUACGCUAAUACCGCAUACGAUCUAUGGAUGAAAGCGGGGGAUCGCAAGACCUCGCGCGAUUGGAGCGGCCGAUAUCAGAUUAGGUAGUUGGUGAGGUAAAGGCUCACCAAGCCGACGAUCUGUAGCUGGUCUGAGAGGACGACCAGCCACACUGGGACUGAGACACGGCCCAGACUCCUACGGAGGCAGCAGUGGGGAAUUUUGGACAAU